UACGAAGGGGGCUAGCGUUGCUCGGAAUUACUGGGCGUAAAGGGCGCGUAGGCGGAUGGCACAGUCAGAUGUGAAAUUCCUGGGCUUAACCUGGGGGCUGCAUUUGAUACGUGUUGUCUAGAGUGAGGAAGAGGGUUGUGGAAUUCCCAGUGUAGAGGUGAAAUUCGUAGAUAUUGGGAAGAACACCGGUGGCGAAGGCGGCAACCUGGUCCUUGACUGACGCUGAGGCGCGAAAGCGUGGGGAGCAAACAGG
rnacentral:rRNA from 1 species